GCAGACACCAGCCUGGUGUCCUCCUUCAUCCCAGGCUGCCAGGCUAGGCAGGGGACAGCGGCUGCCCUGGUCCUCACAGCCCUGGCUACGGGGCUGGUGACAGCCAGAUCCUCAUGCUUCUGCGACCUGAGCGCUGCCUUCAGACACCUCUCUGCUGGCGUGUUCCUGGGUCCAUGAUGGAAGAAGGAAAAGUAUUUUUAAAAGACAAUCUGAAGCUCAUACUGUGACUGCAACAUAAAAUGUGUUCACCUGAGGAGACUGCUUUCAUCGCCAGUGUGUCACAGAUGGUGGAAACCUCAGAAGGCCACAGUCCAGAGUAGGGGCUUAAUGCAAGCUGCUGGAACUGAAUAAAGAAGGUCUCUGAUGGUUCUGGUUUCCUGGGCACCUAGAAUAAGUGUGUCACCAUUUGUCCUGAAGCUGACUUCUCUGAGCUGGAUGGCACCCUGGACAUCAACCAGCCCUUCACCUUCACGUCACACAGGAGGGACACUGGUCCAUAGAGAGGAUGCCUGCUCUGGUCACCAGCUGGAGAGUGGCAGACCUUGGGUACCUGACCUUUGGACUCUGCCACACAGAGCACUUCCUCAGUCCCUCCUGCUGCCCCUGGCAGGGUGGAGCUGGCAGGGCAGCUGAUCCAGGACCGUCCACUUCCAAGCCAGCAGGAGGAUGGAAAAGCAGAAUGGAGGGGAAACAACCUCCUUUGCAGGGCGUGACUCGGAAGUUGGACACAUCAUUUCCAGCCACAUUCCAUGGACCAGAAUUAGCCCUGUGACCAACUCUGGCUGCCAGAAAAUCUGGGAAAUACAGUCUCUGCUUGGGCGAUCAGGCAGGCAGUUAUAUCUUUGGGAACAUCUCUCACCCCCUGGGAACACCUGAGCAGAAACUGAAGGACAUUUAACAGAUUCUCCUUUGUGUCUAAUAAGAAUUGCCCCCAUCAGUCGGGGCUGUCCUAGGUGCUGGGUACAUAGGUCAUCUAUACACAACCCAGCAAUGGAGAGCACACCAUUCCCAGGCUGCAGAUGCAGAAACUGUGGCUCGGAGAGUUAAGCGUCUUGUUCAGAUUCAGUCAGCUGGUAGAUGGCAGGUCUGGGAUUGAGACCCAGGCCUGGCUGGUCCUGCCAGGACACAGUAUCACAGCUUUGACUGGGAGCUUCUUUUUGUUUACAUAUAUUUUUUAUGCUCAAUGUGCAUUCCUUUUGAAAUACACAGAAAAGGGAAAGAA
rnacentral:lncRNA from 1 species